rnacentral:rRNA from 1 species
ACGCUCGACACCUACGGGGGCAGCAGUGGGGAAUAUUGCACAAUGGGGGAAACCCUGAUGCAGCGAUGCCGCGUGAAGGAAGAAGUAUCUCGGUAUGUAAACUUCUAUCAGCAGGGAAGAAAAUGACGGUACCUGACUAAGAAGCCCCGGCUAACUACGUACCAGCAGCCGCGGUAAUCUGAGCGGGCUGGCAAGGC